GCACACUUGUCCCCUCACGGCAGGUCAGGCACAGAGUACAUGGAAUCUGCAGGCUCCCUACCCUUGCCAGAAGCUUCGAGCUCCGCGUCCCGAGGCGCACAAACGAGUCCCGGGCCUGCCUACCUCCAAGGGCCGGGCCGGGACCUCCAACAGCCACAGAGCGCUUCAGAGAGUGUCGGGGGGCCUGCAGGCCGGCGGCCCCCGAGCGGGCCGCCGCCCACGGGCAGCAGAGGCAGGCGGAGGCGGGCACCCGCCCUCCGAGGGGCCGCGCUUACCCGUCGGGCGAGUACUCGAGGUUGAAGACGGCGCCGUGGGUGCGGGUGCUGAGGUACACCGAGUCCGCGGGAUGGAUGGAACCAUAGAGGCCUUGAUCAAGAGCUAUGUUGUAGAAGGCUCACAUGUGAUGACUGAGGAGGAACCUGGAAGAUCUUUGUAGAAGAGCUAUCCUGUGAGGACAGAUCUGAAGGAUCUCUACAGUAAGAAUGAGAUUCAGAAAGGGCUGAACAUUCAGCAGGUCCUCCCAUCAGGCUUUAUACUUUGGGAGCAGCAGAUUCACUCCUGAUGUCUUUGACAUCAUUCUUUAUUGGGAACAAGAUUGACAAAAUGAGCAAGGCAGAUGGACAAGGCAAAAAAAAGGCUGAAAUGGCAGCGAUAUCCCAGGCAUUUUCCCGAUUGAAGCCAUGCAUCUCGAGCUUUUUGAAAUGGUCAUCUAUUACAUCAUCAGCUUGGGAAAUAAGAAGUACAAACUCCAGCAUUGCCUUCACCCGAGCAGAGAGGUUAGACUUUCUCCACUUCACGCAGACCUGCAAGAAAACACACGGUCAAAAGCAGAAUCUCUGUUCAUCACAAUACAGCCGAGAAAACAAAAGGCCUAACAAAAUGAAAAGACCCAAGGUUAGAAUAAAGGGGCAAAGUCAGGACAAAAUAAACUUUCCAGUGUGAUGCAAACCUGAAACUCUGGCUCAACCCCACCUCUGCAAAGAAGUCUUCUUUGCUCACUCAGCUACAAGCUCCUCUAAAUACUCAUGGCACCAAAAAUCUCAGAACCAAGACUCAGAGACUCUAAGUACAUAAAGACUCCAAAUCCAAACUUUUUCUUAUGAGUAAAGUGAAGCUCAGAUCCCUUUGUCCCCAAUUAAUCCCACACAAGACAUAAUAUAUGUAAAAUUAAUAGCUAACACUCAGCAAUUACUAUGUGCUAAUAAGAAUGUGCUCAAUGCUUCAUAUUCAUUUUGUUAUUGCUUACAA